rnacentral:lncRNA from 1 species
UCCCUACACAUCAAUAAUUGUUAAAUAAAAGUUUUUUAGAAUUUAGUCUUUGUGAAUGCCUUUAAGUUGUAUAACGGUUUAAAAUGAGUUACGGCAAAGUUAAUUGUGCUACAAUGAACUUGUUUCAUGAACCGUAAAUUAGCACGAAAGGUAAAGAAGUCCAUCUGGCCGAACGAGGAGAGAAAAACCACGCCCUCAAAAAAAAGAGAGAGAAAAAACAGUCACACAAAAGAGCAUAGCGCAAAUGAUGCAUACUGCAUAGUCAGUUGAUCAAAGAGAACCUGAUUGAACCAUUCUUACACUUUGCUCCAUUAUCCAUGUCCAUAAAAUUCUCAAUCUAUGUCUUCCCCUCUUGAGUCCAUCCAUUUCUUUGAUCAGAUCCAUUGCGUAACAUAUCUUCAUACGGAUUACUGUCUUAGUUUGUCAUUGUAUAAUAAUAAUAUUUUCUGCUACAAGUUUGCUCAAAAUAUAAAAAAAAUUGAUGGUGAACAAAAGUUAUACGCCUCAUGAUUUAAAAUUGAAGGGAGC